UUUUUUUAAAUAUUUUUAGUUAGCAGUUGCAUUUAUAAAAUGAUUUAUAUUCAGUAUGUAUUUGCAUAUAUAAAACUAUUUAUAUAAUCAUAUUUUCUUAGGAGAUGAUUUUUUUCAAAGUGACCUACAAAUGAAGAAUCCAACAAAGUGUGUCAUCCCGAGACAUCCCGACCAUCCUGACACAGCAACAUCAGGUCAACCAAUGGGAUGACUCUUGGAAUCAGACAGUGGUUAAACUUUCACGCUGAAGACAUGCAGACGUGAUCGCCAGAAUGUUGCACCUGAUUCCUGAACCCAGAGGAGAAUUUUAGAUUCAGAUGUUGCUCUUUUAAGGCUCCAGAGACUCCAAGGCAUCAUGAAAUUUACAUUAUUUACUUUUGCAAUACAUGUCUGUGGUCUCAUCGUGCAUGAUUCAUCAGUACACGCUGUUUGAAAGGACAAAAAGGUUUGUCACUUGUAAAUACGUCACAUUACGGAUGCA